AAGGGGCCCAGGUGUCCGGGAAAAAGGGCCCAGGCGUCCGGGGAAAAGGGGCCCAGGCGUCCGGGAAAAGGGGCCCAGGCGUCCGGGGAAGGGGCCCAGGCGUCCGGGAAGGAAGGGGCCCAGGCGUCCGGGAAAAGGGGCCCAGGCAUCCGGGAAAAGGGGCCCAGGCAUCCGGGAAAAGGGGCCCAGG
rnacentral:lncRNA from 1 species